rnacentral:rRNA from 1 species
GUGCCAGCCGCCGCGGUAAUACGGAGGGUGCGAGCGUUGUCCGGAUUUAUUGGGUUUAAAGGGUGCGUAGGCGGCUUGUUAAGUCCGGGGUGAAAGCCCACAGCUCAACUGUGGAACUGCCCUGGAUACUGGCAAGCUUGAGUCCAGACGAGGUUGGCGGAAUAGAUGCUGUAGCGGUGAAAUGCAUAGAUAGCAUCUAGAACCCCGAUUGCGUAGGCAGCUGACUAGGCUGGCACUGACGCUGAGGCACGAAAGCGUGGGGAGCGAACAGGAUUAGAAACCCGGGUAGUCC